rnacentral:rRNA from 1 species
UUUGGUUAAGUUAGAAAGGGCGCACGGUGGAUGCCUUGACACUAGGAGUCGAUGAAGGACGGGACUAACGCCGAUAUGCUUCGGGGAGCUGUAAGUAAGCUUUGAUCCGAAGAUUUCCGAAUGGGGAAACCCACCAUACGUAAUGGUAUGGUAUCCUUAUCUGAAUACAUAGGGUAAGGAAGACAGACCCAGGGAACUGAAACAUCUAAGUACCUGGAGGAAGAGAAAGCAAAUGCGAUUUCCUGAGUAGCGGCGAGCGAAACGGAACAUAGCCCAAACCAAGAGGCUUGCCUCUUGGGGUUGUAGGACAUUCUAUACGGAGUUACAAAGGAACGAGGUAGACGAAGCGACCUGGAAAGGUCCGUCGUAGAGGGUAACAACCCCGUAGUCGAAACUUCGUUCUCUCUUGAAUGUAUCCUGAGUACGGCGGAACACGUGAAAUUCCGUCGGAAUCUGGGAGGACCAUCUCCCAAGGCUAAAUACUCCCUAGUGAUCGAUAGUGAACCAGUACCGUGAGGGAAAGGUGAAAAGCACCCCGGAAGGGGAGUGAAAGAGAUCCUGAAACCGUGUGCCUACAAAUAGUCAGAGCCCGUUAACGGGUGAUGGCGUGCCUUUUGUAGAAUGAACCGGCGAGUUACGAUCCCGUGCGAGGUUAAGCUGAAGAGGCGGAGCCGCAGCGAAAGCGAGUCUGAAUAGGGCGUUUAGUACGUGGUCGUAGACCCGAAACCAGGUGAUCUACCCAUGUCCAGGGUGAAGUUCAGGUAACACUGAAUGGAGGCCCGAACCCACGCACGUUGAAAAGUGCGGGGAUGAGGUGUGGGUAGCGGAGAAAUUCCAAUCGAACCUGGAGAUAGCUGGUUCUCCCCGAAAUAGCUUUAGGGCUAGCCUUAAGUGUAAGAGUCUUGGAGGUAGAGCACUGAUUGGACUAGGGGUCCUCAUCGGAUUACCGAAUUCAGUCAAACUCCGAAUGCCAAUGACUUAUCCUUAGGAGUCAGACUGCGAGUGAUAAGAUCCGUAGUCAAAAGGGAAACAGCCCAGACCGCCAGCUAAGGUCCCAAAGUGUGUAUUAAGUGGAAAAGGAUGUGGAGUUGCUUAGACAACUAGGAUGUUGGCUUAGAAGCAGCCACCAUUUAAAGAGUGCGUAAUAGCUCACUAGUCGAGUGACUCUGCGCCGAAAAUGUACCGGGGCUAAAUACACCACCGAAGCUGCGGAUUGAUACCAAUGGUAUCAGUGGUAGGGGAGCGUUCUAAGGACAGUGAAGUCAGACCGGAAGGACUGGUGGAGUGCUUAGAAGUGAGAAUGCCGGUAUGAGUAGCGAAAGACGGGUGAGAAUCCCGUCCACCGAAUGCCUAAGGUUUCCUGAGGAAGGCUCGUCCGCUCAGGGUUAGUCAGGACCUAAGCCGAGGCCGACAGGCGUAGGCGAUGGACAACAGGUUGAUAUUCCUGUACCACCUCUUUAUCGUUUGAGCAAUGGAGGGACGCAGAAGGAUAGAAGAAGCGUGCGAUUGGUUGUGCACGUCCAAGCAGUUAGGCUGAUAAGUAGGCAAAUCCGCUUAUCAUAAAGGCUGAGCUGUGAUGGGGAAGCUCCUUAUGGAGCGAAGUCUUUGAUUCCCCGCUGCCAAGAAAAGCUUCUAGCGAGAUAAAAGGUGCCUGUACCGCAAACCGACACAGGUAGGCGAGGAGAGAAUCCUAAGGUGUGCGAGAGAACUCUGGUUAAGGAACUCGGCAAAAUGACCCCGUAACUUCGGGAGAAGGGGUGCUUUCUUAACGGAAAGCCGCAGUGAAUAGGCCCAAGCGACUGUUUAGCAAAAACACAGCUCUCUGCGAAGCCGUAAGGCGAAGUAUAGGGGGUGACACCUGCCCGGUGCUGGAAGGUUAAGGAGAGGGGUUAGCGUAAGCGAAGCUCUGAACUGAAGCCCCAGUAAACGGCGGCCGUAACUAUAACGGUCCUAAGGUAGCGAAAUUCCUUGUCGGGUAAGUUCCGACCCGCACGAAAGGUGUAACGAUUUGGGCACUGUCUCAACCAGAGACUCGGUGAAAUUAUAGUACCUGUGAAGAUGCAGGUUACCCGCGACAGGACGGAAAGACCCCGUGGAGCUUUACUGUAGCCUGAUAUUGAAUUUUGGUACAGUUUGUACAGGAUAGGCGGGAGCCAUUGAAACCGGAGCGCUAGCUUCGGUGGAGGCGCUGGUGGGAUACCGCCCUGACUGUAUUGAAAUUCUAACCUACGGGUCUUAUCGACCCGGGAGACAGUGUCAGGUGGGCAGUUUGACUGGGGCGGUCGCCUCCUAAAGUGUAACGGAGGCGCCCAAAGGUUCCCUCAGAAUGGUUGGAAAUCAUUCGUAGAGUGCAAAGGCAUAAGGGAGCUUGACUGCGAGACCUACAAGUCGAGCAGGGACGAAAGUCGGGCUUAGUGAUCCGGUGGUUCCGCAUGGAAGGGCCAUCGCUCAACGGAUAAAAGCUACCCCGGGGAUAACAGGCUUAUCUCCCCCAAGAGUCCACAUCGACGGGGAGGUUUGGCACCUCGAUGUCGGCUCAUCGCAUCCUGGGGCUGUAGUCGGUCCCAAGGGUUGGGCUGUUCGCCCAUUAAAGCGGUACGCGAGCUGGGUUCAGAACGUCGUGAGACAGUUCGGUCCCUAUCCGUCGUGGGCGUAGGAAAUUUGAGAGGAGCUGUCCUUAGUACGAGAGGACCGGGAUGGACGCACCGCUGGUGUACCAGUUGUUCUGCCAAGGGCAUAGCUGGGUAGCUAUGUGCGGAAGGGAUAAGUGCUGAAAGCAUCUAAGCAUGAAGCCCCCUCAAGAUGAGAUUUCCCAUAGCGUAAGCUAGUAAGAUCCCUGAAAGAUGAUCAGGUUGAUAGGUUCGAGGUGGAAGCAUGGUGACAUGUGGAGCUGACGAAUACUAAUAGAUCGAGGACUUAACCAUAUAA